GGAGGUGGCGAGCGUUACUCGGAUUCAUUGGGUGUAAAGGGCAGGUAGGUGGCUAUGUAAGUUGGAGGUGAAAUCCUUUGGCUCAACCAAAGAACUGCCUUCAGGACUGCAUAGCUUGAGGCUAGAAUAGGAGAGCGGAAUUCCCGGUGUAAGGGUGAAAUCUGUAGAUAUCGGGAGGAACGCCAGUGACGUAAGUGGCUCUCUGGUUUGGCCCUGACGCUGAAUUGCGAAAGCUAGGGGAGCAAACAGGAUUAGAUACCCUGGUAGUCCUAGCCGUAAACUAUGAGCACUAGGUGUUGGGGGUUAAACUUUCAGCGCCGUAAGAUAACUCGUUAAGUGCUCCACCUGGGGACUACGGCCGCAAGGCUA
rnacentral:rRNA from 1 species